rnacentral:tRNA from 1 species
CGGGAUAUAGUAUAACGGCAGUACGCGUGCAUGGGGUGCAUGUAGCCCCGGUUCAAUUCCGGGUAUCCCGA